AAUCAACGCUGGCGGCGUGCCUCAGACAUGCAAGUCGAACGAUUAAAGCUCUCUUCGGAGAGUGUAUAGAGUGGCGCACGGGUGAGUAACACGUAAGUAAUCUACCUUUGAGUGGGGAAUAACAGUCGGAAACGACUGCUAAUACCGCAUAAUGCAGCGGCAUCGCAAGAUGACAGUUGUUAAAGGAGCAAUCCGCUUAAAGAGGAGCUUGCGGCAGAUUAGCUAGUUGGUAAGGUAAUGGCUUACCAAGGCUACGAUCUGUAUCCGGUCUAAGAGGACGGUCGGACACACUGACACUGAAUAACGGGUCAGACUCCUACGGGAGGCAGCAGUCGGGAAUUUUGGGCAAUGGGCGAAAGCCUGACCCAGCAACGCCGCGUGAAGGAUGAAGUAUUUCGGUAUGUAAACUUCGAAAGAAUGGGAAGAUAAAUGACGGUACCAUUUAUAAGGUCCGGCUAACUACGUGCCAGCCGCCGCCGUAAG
rnacentral:rRNA from 1 species